AAAGUGACUCAGAGCAGGGGGCCUGAAGAAUGGCUCUUUUGUUUACAACACACCCAACAGGAAUCUCAGGUCAUCGUAAUAAUGGAAACAAAACUUGUGGCCUCCCUAUGAACAAAUGCCCUACAGGA
rnacentral:snoRNA from 1 species